rnacentral:rRNA from 1 species
GAUGAACGCUGGCGGCGUGCUUAAUACAUGCAAGUCGAGCGAACAGACGAGGAGCUUGCUCCUUCUACGUUAGCGGCGGACGGGUGAGUAACACGUAGGUAACCUACCUAUUAGACUGGGAUAACUUCGGGAAACCGGAGCUAAUACUGGAUAAUAUUUCGAACCGCAUGGGUGGAUAGUGAAAGAUGGCUUUGCUAUCACUUAUAGACGGACCUACGCUGUAUUAGCUAGUUGGUAAGGGAACGGGUUACCAAGGCAACGGUACUUAACCGACCUGAGAGGGUGAUCGGCGACACUGGAACUGAGACACGGUACAGGCUCCUACGGGAGGCAGCAGUAGGGAGUCGUCAACAAUGGGCGAAAGCCUGACGGAGCACCGACGCGUGAGUCAUGAAGGUCUGCGGAUCGUGAAACUCUGUUAUUAGGGAAGAACAAACGUGUAAGUACCUGUGCACGUGUUGACGGUACCUAGUCAGAAAGCCACGGCUAACUACGUG